rnacentral:rRNA from 1 species
CGCAAGUUUGAACCAACCCUGUCGCGUGCAGGAUGACGGCCCUAUGGGUUGUAAACUGCUUUUUUACAGGAAUUAACGGUGGUACGUGUAGUGAUUUGAAUGUACUGUAUGAAUAAGGAUUGGCUAACUCCGUGCCAGCAGCCGCGGUAAUACGGAGGAUUCGAGCGUUAUCCGGAUUUAUUGGGUUUAAAGGGUCCGUAGGCGGUUCUUUAAGUCAGUGGUGAAAUCCCAGAGCUCAACUCUGGAACUGCCAUUGAAACUGAAGAACUUGAAUAUGGUUGAGGUAGGCGGAAUACGUUAUGUAGCGGUGAAAUGCAUAGAUAUAACGUAGAACACCAAUUGCGAAGGCAGCUUACUAAACCAUUAUUGACGCUGAUGGACGAAAGCGUGGGGAGCGAACAGGAUUAGAUACCCUGGUAGUCC